rnacentral:rRNA from 1 species
AUUGAACGCUGGCGGCAGGCUUAACACAUGCAAGUCGAGCGGGGAAAGGUAGCUUGCUACCUAACCUAGCGGCGGACGGGUGAGUAAUGCUUAGGAAUCUGCCUAUUAGUGGGGGACAACGUUUCGAAAGGAACGCUAAUACCGCAUACGCCCUACGGGGGAAAGCAGGGGCUCUUCGGACCUUGCGCUAAUAGAUGAGCCUAAGUCAGAUUAGCUAGUUGGUGGGGUAAAGGCCUACCAAGGCGACGAUCUGUAGCGGGUCUGAGAGGAUGAUCCGCCACACUGGGACUGAGACACGGCCCAGACUCCUACGGGAGGCAGCAGUGGGGAAUAUUGGACAAUGGGGGGAACCCUGAUCCAGCCAUGCCGCGUGUGUGAAGAAGGCCUUUUGGUUGUAAAGCACUUUAAGCGAGGAGGAGGCUCCUAUAGAUAAUACCUAUAGUGAGUGGACGUUACUCGCAGAAUAAGCACCGGCUAACUCUGUGCCAGCAGCCGCGGUAAUACAGAGGGUGCGAGCGUUAAUCGGAUUUACUGGGCGUAAAGCGUACGUAGGCGGCUUUUUAAGUCGGAUGUGAAAUCCCUGAGCUUAACUUAGGAAUUGCAUUCGAUACUGGGAAGCUAGAGUAUGGGAGAGGAUGGUAGAAUUCCAGGUGUAGCGGUGAAAUGCGUAGAGAUCUGGAGGAAUACCGAUGGCGAAGGCAGCCAUCUGGCCUAAUACUGACGCUGAGGUACGAAAGCAUGGGGAGCAAACAGGAUUAGAUACCCUGGUAGUCCAUGCCGUAAACGAUGUCUACUAGCCGUUGGGGCCUUUGAGGCUUUAGUGGCGCAGCUAACGCGAUAAGUAGACCGCCUGGGGAGUACGGUCGCAAGACUA